UACGUAGGGGGCAAGCGUUGUCCGGAUUCAUUGGGCGUAAAGAGCGUGUAGGCGGCCAGGUAGGUCGGUUGUGAAAACUGGAGGCUCAACCUUCAGAGGUCGACCGAAACCAUCUGGCUAGAGUCCGGGAGAGGAGAGUGGAAUUCCUGGUGUAGCGGUGAAAUGCGCAGAUAUCAGGAAGAACACCCGUGGCGAAAGCGGUCUGCUGGGCAGUAGCUGACACUGAGGCGCGACAGCGUGGGGAGCAAACAGG
rnacentral:rRNA from 1 species